CGGCCGAGAGGAACACGACAACGCCCGUCCCGGAGGAAAACCAUAGAGGAGAUGGUGCUGGACUCGGACCACAUACAUUUGCCUACAUAUAAGCCGUCCCCUCCCGUCCCGUACGGGUCCAUCAAAAUCGUGAUCGACGAGAUUCUUAGAUUCUUUCUUUUACGACAUCGAAAUUGCCGGACCGAAUCUAGUUAAUUGUGAUCGAGUCUGCGGCGUCCUUCAGCAUGUUCGCAAGAUUAAGUCAUCUCUGGUCAAGAGAUAGCAAUAGUCAAGAUAUGCAGCGGCGCGGACAUGCCUCGGGAAGCCAUCGCGAUCGGCGGCAUGAGUUGUGUGAACUCUGCCGGAGAAACGACGAACUGGUUCGAGCAGGGCAGCGUGAAUCGCUAGAACUACUCUCGGCGGACGCAGGCGUCCAAGCGCAGCGGGGGGAAUCGGCGGAACUCUUCAUGUCAGGAGACGCUGAGGUCCAAGCAAAGUGGAGGGAGAUUAAGAGAUUAUGUCUAAUACUUGAAUCGCAGGUCAAGGAUAGAAGCUCCCGAGAAGCGGAGGUGCUUGAGGAUACCGCUCCUCACCGGUCAUUCAAUUGAACGAGCACACGUAGAGCUGCAGCUAGCCCUUCAAUAAUUUGGUUGAACAAUUUCAUGUCUGCUAGCUAGGCGUUAUACGUAAAACCUCUAGUUUUGUUAUUCUUCAUUUUUGUUUUUUCCUUACCGCGAUAUAAUUUCUGUGCAUAUGCCUUCAUUUGUGCACAAACUAAACGAAUAAUUUUCCUCUCUA